rnacentral:misc_RNA from 1 species
GAUGAAGAACGCAGUGAAAUGCGAUAAGUAAUGUGAAUUGCAGAAUUCAGUGAAUCAUCGAAUCUUUGAACGCACCUUGCGCUCCUUGGUAUUCCGAGGAGCAUGCCUGUUUGAGUGUCAUUAAAUUCUCAACCUCAUCAGUUUUGUUAUGAAGCUGUGUGAGGCUUGGAUGUGGGGGUUUGUGCAGGCUGCCUCAGUGCGAUCUGCUCCCCUGAAAUGUAUUAGCGAGUUCCAACUGGGCUCCGUCUAUUGGUGUGAUAAUUAUCUACGCCGUGGAUUGGGCUUAGACUUGCUUCUAACCGUCCGCAAGGACAAUCUUUUGACAAUUUGACCUCAAAUCAGGUAGGACUACCCGAUGAACUUAAGCAUAUCAAUAAGCGGAGGA